GAGCAACAUACUUGUAGCGAGAGAAGGGCUACGGAAUCGAAUCGAAAAUUGGAUACUGAUUUUGAGAAUUCCUUUUCGCGCGUCUUCAAUAAGACUGACAGAUUGAUCUGAGGGUGGUGAUGCAGCUACGCUCACUUUUUAGAAUAUUCUAGAAGUUCUAAUCGCCUUUAUCAGGCUUGCUGCCACUUUAUUCAUAUGUAUGGUAACCGAGGCUGCCUCGUCGUCUGAUGUUAGUAUCCCCUCAUCGUCGUCGACAACUUCUGGCACGGAAUCGGAUGUGAGUUCUCCAUGUAUUGGCUUUCAGGGUGUCGAUAGAACUCUAUAUGUAGAUAGCUGUUGGAAGCACUUCACAUAGCGAGUAGUUGAGAGUGUUCUAUAAUAUAUACCAAGUACUUUCAUUGGAGUUCAAGGCAUUAUUGAACUUAAGGCUUUUCUUUUAAAGAGUUGGAUCUAGAGGUUUGCCGCUAAGUCGGAUGAUAUCCCCAGAAGUCGGCUUUUCGCUGCACGGGAUAGGGCGGGGGUAGUCGGUUUUUAAUUCCUGGAGGUUAAGGCCUAUUAUCUACUUUUUUUGUAGAGGCUGAUCGGCUUAGAUCAGAGUAAAGCCAGAAGACCGGAGAGAAGUAAACAUUCUAUAUUGAGUAAGAGUUUUUCUUUUCCCUUAUUCCCACGGCUAAGAGUAAGAGAGUUAGUUUCCAAGUGUUGUAACCUAAGCCGCGUAAGGAGCUCGGGAGGCAAGAACUCAAGCAAGAGAAGAAGCCGCAUCCCUUGAUAUUGAGUUUGAGUUUCUUUUAUCAGCUAGACCUGUAACUAACCCCGAUAGGGGAACCAAUUCCAUAUAUAUGAAUACCCCUCUUAGGUCGGUUUACGCCAAAGCAACUACUAAAACAAAGAAUCAUUCCUUCCAACACGAGUGGGAUCGCUUCGUUCGGAUGCCGUCCCCCAAGAGCCAAAGAUCUUCUCUCUUACAGCAGGAAUUCUUUCUUGCUCUUCAGCUCGAGUUCGAGUUAGGAAGCUAUGAGUUUGAGUUUGAGUUCGAGUAAAUAACACCAGAUGUAACUAAAGAAAGAAAAGAAGCUCAAGCGCUAGCGGCUUUUAAGAAUGAAUCCCUCCGGAUCGCUCUCUUUUAGGUUACCACUUGGAACUAAUAAGACAAAAAGAAACUCAAGGAAGAGACAUUCAUUCGGUUAAGCCUUCGGCACAAGAUCCAGCCCACCCUUAAGAUGCAGCUCCUAAACAGCCUAAAUAAGGAAUUCUUCUUUGGGUAACCAUUUAUGGUUACGAAAGAAGAAAUUACUGAAUCAGAAGUAGUUAAAAGACUAGAAGCAAGGCAUUGAGGAAUCACUAGGGCUCCACCCCGAAAGAAAGAAUAUUGAAAGACUUGUGAAUAAUCGAUUUCCUUAGUUCUUCUUAAUGGUCCUAUACAGGGAGUGAGCGAACCCUUUCGCAAGGGGCACGAACGUUCUCAAAUAAGUAAGGGAAUCCCUAGUUCCUAUGUUAGCAACUUCACUCAGAACUCUUCGCUCUCUCUUUCACCUUCAUCUCAGUCGGCGGAGUCAACUUGCUCGUCUCUAUCCCCGCUACGGACUACCUUCCCCAAGGCAGUCCUAGCUCAUUGAUCUCAUUGAAAAGGAAGUCAAGUUGGUAAAGCAGUAUAGACUAUCUAACUAACAUAUCGAACAAGCAAUCCAAGCAAGAAAGCCGAUGGAUGCCGAUACGCCCUUGUUUUGUCCCCCUCUUCGAAGAACUAUGGCAAUGUGGAUCUGACAACCUGUUCUAACAACAGAGGAGAUGCGCACUCACCAGCUACGUUUAGAAAUCGGGUUGCAAGCUUCUUUUUUUUGACGGGGUUGUUGACAUGAGAUGAAAGUCAUGGUAAAGCCGCUUCAACUCAAGCAACUCUUUCCCCAGAAGCUCAUGUAAUCUCUCCUCCCGCUUUCACUUACUACAGGUAAUUGAAUCAAAUCUCCUCUUCCCUUGGGAGCGCCUUAUCAACUCCUAAUUCAAUCUCUUCCCUUGCAGAUGAAUGAGGGUCCUGAC
rnacentral:lncRNA from 1 species